CGGGAAUUUUGGGCAAUGGGCGAAAGCCUGACCCAGCAACGCCGCGUGAGGGAAGAAGUAUUUCGGUAUGUAAACCUCGAAAGAAUGGGAAGAAUAAAUGACGGUACCAUUUAUAAGCUCCGGCUAACUACGUGCCAGCAGCCGCGGUAAUACGUAGGGAGCAAGCGUUGUUCGGAUUUACUGGGCGUAAAGGGCGCGUAGGCGGCGCGGUAAGUCACUUGUGAAAUCUCUGAGCUUAACUCAGAACGGCCAAGUGAUACUGCUGUGCUAGAGUGCGGAAGAGGCAACCGGAAUUCUUGGUGUAGCGGUGAAAUGCGUAGAUAUCAAGAGGAACACCUGAGGCGAAGGCGGGUUGCUGGGCCGACACUGACGCUGAUGCGCGAAAGCCAGGGG
rnacentral:rRNA from 1 species